UACACUCCUACGGGAGGCAGCAGUGGGGAAUUUUGGACAAUGGGGGCAACCCUGAUCCAGCAAUGCCGCGUGAGUGAAGAAGGCCUUCGGGUUGUAAAGCUCUUUUGUCAGGGAAGAAACGGUAGUAGCGAAUAACUAUUACUAAUGACGGUACCUGAAGAAUAAGCACCGGCUAACUACGUGCCAGCAGCCGCGGUAAUACGUAGGGUGCAAGCGUUAAUCGGAAUUACUGGGCGUAAAGCGUGCGCAGGCGGUUGUGUAAGUCAGAUGUGAAAUCCCCGGGCUCAACCUGGGAAUUGCAUUGGAGACUGCACGGCUAGAGUGUGUCAGAGGGGGGUAGAAUUCCACGUGUAGCAGUGAAAUGCGUAGAUAUGUGGAGGAAUACCGAUGGCGAAGGCAGCCCCCUGGGAUAACACUGACGCUCAUGCACGAAAGCGUGGGGAGCAAACAGGAUUUGAAACCCGUGUAGUCCCA
rnacentral:rRNA from 1 species